CAGUAGCCGCGGGAAUACAGAGGGUGCGAGCGUUAAUCGGAUUUACUGGGCGUAAAGCGUGCGUAGGCGGCUUUUUAAGUCGGAUGUGAAAUCCCUGAGCUUAACUUAGGAAUUGCAUUCGAUACUGGGAAGCUAGAGUAUGGGAGAGGAUGGUAGAAUUCCAGGUGUAGCGGUGAAAUGCGUAGAGAUCUGGAGGAAUACCGAUGGCGAAGGAAGCCAUCUGGCCUAAUACUGACGCUGAGGUACGAAAGCAUGGGGAGCAAACAGGAUUAGAUACCCGCGUAGUCCCUGUCUCUUAUAC
rnacentral:rRNA from 1 species